AGAGUUUGAUCCUGGCUCAGGACGAACGCUGGCGGCAUGCCUAACACAUGCAAGUCGAACGGAGAAAGUUCAACACCAAGUAUUUCAUCCGCUGAAGUGUAGCGGUAAAAAUUGCGAAGCAAUUUUUACUACGCAUUAAAAGCAUGAACUAACACGGUGGUUGAAGUAUUAGGUGUUGAACUUUCUUAGUGGCGAACGGGUGAGUAACGCGUGGGCAACCUGCCCUCUAGAUGGGGACAACAUCCCGAAAGGGGUGCUAAUACCGAAUGUGACAGCAAUCUCGCAUGAGGAUGCUGUGAAAGAUGGCCUCUAUUUAUAAGCUAUCGCUAGAGGAUGGGCCUGCGUCUGAUUAGCUAGUUGGUGGGGUAACGGCCUACCAAGGCGAUGAUCAGUAGCCGGUCUGAGAGGAUGAACGGCCACAUUGGGACUGAGACACGGCCCAGACUCCUACGGGAGGCAGCAGUGGGGAAUCUUCCGCAAUGGGCGAAAGCCUGACGGAGCAAUGCCGCGUGAGUGAUGAAGGAAUUCGUUCCGUAAAGCUCUUUUGUUUAUGACGAAUGUGCAGAUUGUAAAUAAUGAUCUGUAAUGACGGUAGUAAACGAAUAAGCCACGGCUAACUACGUGCCAGCAGCCGCGGUAAUACGUAGGUGGCGAGCGUUGUCCGGAAUUAUUGGGCGUAAAGAGCAUGUAGGCGGUUUUUUAAGUCUGGAGUGAAAAUGCGGGGCUCAACCCCGUAUGGCUCUGGAUACUGGAAGACUUGAGUGCAGGAGAGGAAAGGGGAAUUCCCAGUGUAGCGGUGAAAUGCGUAGAUAUUGGGAGGAACACCAGUGGCGAAGGCGCCUUUCUGGACUGUGUCUGACGCUGAGAUGCGAAAGCCAGGGUAGCGAACGGGAUUAGAUACCCCGGUAGUCCUGGCCGUAAACGAUGGGUACUAGGUGUAGGAGGUAUCGACCCCUUCUGUGCCGGAGUUAACGCAAUAAGUACCCCGCCUGGGGAGUACGACCGCAAGGUUGAAACUCAAAGGAAUUGACGGGGGCCCG
rnacentral:rRNA from 1 species